CUCAGAAGCUGCGAUGCUGGCAAGCGAACCAGAGUAAGAGCAUGACAACAUCCCGGGGUGACCAACCCCACCCGCUGGGAUGGCAGCUUGUGGUUUUGCUGAGGGAAGCUGGGACCCCCCGGGCUACCACAGCACCUUACACUGCAGAACAGAUCACUGCGGAGCAAGCUGCUCCCCAGCCGCUGUACCGUCUUACUGCCCACCCCCUGUCAGAGGGUAAUCAAAGUGUUCCACUCAUUAUUGGCAUGAGAACCUGGCCCUGUGUCCUGACUUAGAGUCAUCUCAGGAAAUACUUCCAGACUCAUGUGAGGGGAGACAUCCUGCUUUCUUCCAAAUGAGUGUUCUGAACAGCAGCACUACGUGGCCAUUGCCUCCCUCUCUGUCACAGGCAACUCACCUUUUCCCUGGCACUCUCUCUUUGGGUGCCAGGGAUGCAGAGAGGACAGAUCCAGCUCCACUGCAGUCGUCUCAGAUCUGCAGACUUACUAGCUAGUACAGACAACAGAGUGCAUAGCUAAACGGCUUGCAGGCACUGACCCAAGCCACUAAGACCUCUGGACUUCGCUCAAGCCACAGUGGAAGCAGCUCCAGGACAUCUGCAUUGCCUUCCAGAAACUGGAUGGCCACCACACACAGGAUGAAACAGAGAGCAAGUCCAGGUCUGAGCUGUCUGCCCUUCAGAGGAAGCUAACAGUGCCGCUGGACCUGUGCCAUCUGUUGCAUAGGCAUCUUGGCAGAAUACAGCAAGAGUACACUCACCAGGGCCUCAACUACCUAUGAUUAUCUAGGUUACCUUUGCCCUCCAUUCUCCCAGUUGUUGGAGAUCUGCCUGCAUUAGAUUUCACACACACUUAAAGGGCUUCUCCAGAAGAAAUUAAGAAAAGCCUUCCUGAAAAUUCCUUGUCUUUUUUGGGGGGAGGUUGUGCUAGUUUGAAGCAGGGUAGAAUGUUUUGGUGAGAAGAACUAGAUCAUAGGCUGUGAAAGGAAAACAAUGGUGAUGCCUACUCCCCUCUGAGUCUUGCUGAAGAAAAAAGGAAAACAUUAGAUAACACUCUCACCAUUUUUGUUUCUUUCUGGCUGAGCAACAUCUCCCUAACCUCACCUUCCACUCACCUUUGCUUCUUAACCUCUUGGCUGAACCUCUAUUCUU